ACUGACAUAACAAUGAGCUAUAAUUUUAUACCCAGUUGACUGCAAAGGUUUCAAAAGCUGAACUACACUCUGUGUGAGCUGGAUAUGGACCUAGGUCCUGCUGGCGAGAGUAAGGACCAACACAGUGAUUGGAAAGCACAAUCUGUACUACUCAAGCAAAGUACGAACACCCAUGUCCUAUGAGCUGGCAAGAUUGAGAGGAGGGUAAGGAAAUGGGAGUAGAGAAAACAACAAAGAUUCUGGCUUAAUUGACUGGGUAGAUUCAGGUGACAUUACCCAAGGUACAGAAUGAAGAAGGAGGAAGAGCUGGUCUGGGGGUAAAGAUGAUGUUUUCCAAUUUGGAUCUGUUAAGAAUUAUGAACUCAGGGGAUGCCUGAGGAGAAUAGUAGACACUCCAUCGAUAUUAUCUUCUCUCCAAUCAGGCCUCACAGCCAAGAGAAGUUUCCAGGCCUCUCUCUGCCACGAUCCCUUCUCUGAUUCGCCUCCAGUGAUGCCCUCUCUACUCUGCCCAUUCGUCGUCCAUCAGCACCCUUCCUUUCCCACCCCAAGGUGCUGAGAACCUCCAGGUGAACUGUGAGCCACUGACAAUAAGAAUUACUUCUUUGGAAGUCCAGAAUAUUGGGAUCAGAGGUUCUGUAGAUGGGUGCAGUGAAGGAGUCUCAAUGCCUCCAGGAGGAGGAAGAUGGCAGAGGGCUGGAAGACCAAACGUCAGGGAGUCUGCUCCUCCGACGAUACUACCCAGUACGCAGCGGCCCAGAAAGAAGAAAGAAAGAAAUCCAGAAAUAAGAAAAUGAUUCUUAGAGAAUGCUUUUUUUGUUUCCCUGGACGUCUUCAAAUCAUUUAUUUUUCCACUUCGUUUUUUGGCUGUUCCACGUGGACUGCCUGGAACUUCACUUCCGCUAUACCUCUGGAAGUUUGGGGAUCUGAGACCCGGCGAUGUGUUCCCUUUAACAACGCAUCUUACUGGAAGAGUGUUCAGACACUUCCCGGAGUAUGGAGUGAGCGUCAGGAACACGCUGGGGUUCAAGUUCACGUUUCCUGAGGGCCUCGUGUGUGGCAGCCACCAUGCUUAGCAGCUUUCCCAGGUUGAUUUAUCUGAUACUUUGAAGAGUCUAGAGGGAGAACAGAACGGAGGUAAUGUGGGAUGCAAAGGUUGACAGCCACCUCCCGGGAGACCGUCGGACCUGGAAAUCAGGGCCCUGGGUUUCAACCGGAAAUGUUUACACUGGCACAGACCCAAGAUGGAUGGAGGGCCACGUCACGGAGAGCUGAGUGAGCACAUGCACACAUUUUAAGGGACCGGGGUCUUCACAGCUGACCGGCUGGUCACUCUCACCGCUGCACUGAGCAGCCUGGAGGCUAGCGGUCAUCACUUACAUGUGCUCUGCUACUUACACUUGGAUUUAUAACCACACUUUCCCACGACCGCAUUUUCUUUCUUGGCAGAAGAUUAAGGGCAGCAAUAAUAAACACGUAAUAAUAGUGA